UAAAACAUAGCGUUAAUUCACCAGAUCCCAUUACAAAUCUGCAGUUAAGCGCGCUCAUGCUAGAAUAGUACUAGGGUGGGUGACCGCUCAGGAAGUCCUAGUGUUUUAC
rnacentral:rRNA from 1 species